UAGUGACUGUGUGUGUAA
rnacentral:miRNA from 1 species